GUAAUGUUUCUUGCUCAAAUGAGUAUUCCAACCACAAUCAGCAUUUGGCAUGCACAUCAUUACCAUGUGCACAUCACUAUGAUCAGAAGUUGAGAUGCUCAUUUGAGCAAGCAAUGUUAA
rfam:Cajanus cajan Scaffold000205_9, whole genome shotgun sequence.